rnacentral:lncRNA from 1 species
AGUCUAAUUCACAAACUAAUUANAAUUUUUUAUUAUAGAUAAUAUUUUAGAUACCAAACUUUUAGUUUAUAAAUUGAUAUUUAAAUUAGUCUCUAUNGUGACUAACAAUUUUGGUUUUUUAAAAAUGGUUGUUAUUGAAGNAUUUUCUUUUAGAGGUAUUAGGCAAAUAUGGUCAUAUGGAUAGAAAAAAUAUACGCAAACAUACUAGUAUAGUGUAAUUAUAGUCCUUUCACAAAACUAAAGUCUUUCCAAAUACAUAAGUUAUUACAAUCCUUCAAAAUGCAAAACAAGAUUAAUAAACUACACCAUACAAUAUAUCUAUGUACAUAACAUCAAAGGAACAGUAAACACUACCAUCAACUUACUAGNUAGCUNUGUCACCACCUGAAAUCUCAUUUGGUAAUGCCAUAAAAGUGAUCAUUNCAUAAAGACACACAUAAUCAACACCAAGAGGGUAAACUAUUAAUAACUUAAACUUAUUCAUAUACAAUUAUUAUAUAAAUAUGAUAUUUCUAUUUCUAUCCUUUUUCAGUUCAAUUUAUUUGAAAAAUUUCCUAAGGACCAAUUACUCAAACCAUAUACUAAAUUCUUAUUAUGUACCAAAUUANUUUCCUAACUUCAUAUUCAAUUCCAACAAUACAAUUUCGUAGAAUCNUAAAAUUUUUACAAUUCACAUAACCUACAAUAUGAUUUCUGACAUCCUAUUUCACAAAUAUCAACCUCAAACAUGCAACAUUUCAACAAAAUUACAGUUUAAGGCUCAUACCANAAUGAAUUUUGGAUUCAAAUAAUGAAAAAGUCAAAAUUACCAUUUGGAUCAAAUGGUACAAGAUGUUAUCAUAAACUAACAACUUCCUAGGACACCAAGGAGAUCACCUAAACCAACACCAAAAACCUCAAUUAGAAUUUUAAACCUACCAUUUGGAUUAGAAAGCAAGAGAGNGUUGUCAAGAGUACUUGAGUUGCGUGUUCUCCUGUAGGGUUUACAUGAAACCAAAGAAAUAGAUUGCGAAAAAGA